UACGAAGGGGGCUAGCGUUGCUCGGAAUCACUGGGCGUAAAGGGUGCGUAGGCGGGUCUUUAAGUCAGGGGUGAAAUCCUGGAGCUCAACUCCAGAACUGCCCUUGAUACUGGGAGCCUUGAGUUCGGGAGAGGUGAGUGGAACUGCGAGUGUAGAGGUGAAAUUCGUAGAUAUUCGCAAGAACACCAGUGGCGAAGGCGGCUCACUGGCCCGAUACUGACGCUGAGGUGCGAAAGCGUGGGGAGCAAACAGG
rnacentral:rRNA from 1 species